rnacentral:rRNA from 1 species
CCUACGGGUGGCAGCAGUGAGGAAUAUUGGUCAAUGGGCGAGAGCCUGAACCAGCCAAGUCGCGUGAGGGAGUACUGCCCUAUGGGUUGUAAACCUCUUUUGUCGGGGAGCAAAAGCCGGACGUGUCCGGCUGUGAGAGUACCCGAAGAAAAAGCAUCGGCUAACUCCGUGCCAGCAGCCGCGGUAAUACGGAGGAUGCGAGCGUUAUCCGGAUUUAUUGGGUGUAAAGGGUGCGCAGGCGGAUUUUUAAGUCAGCGGUCAAAUCGUGGGGCUCAACCCCAUCCAGCCGUUGAAACUGGGGAUCUAGAGUGUGCGAGAGGUAUGCGGAAUGCGUGGUGUAGCGGUGAAAUGCAUAGAUAUCAGGAGGAACAUCGGUGGCGUAAGCGCUUUACUGGGCCGUAAUUGACACUGAGGAACGAAAGCCGGGGUAGCAAAUGGGAUUAGAUACCCGAGUAGUC